rnacentral:rRNA from 1 species
AUACGGAGGAUCCAAGCGUUAUCCGGAUUCAUUGGGUUUAAAGGGUGCGCAGGCGGGUUAAUAAGUCAGAGGUGAAAUCCUACAGCUCAACUGUAGAACUGCCUUUGAUACUGUUAGCCUAGAGUAUAGUUGAAGUGGGCGGAAUGUAGCAUGUAGCGGUGAAAUGCUUAGAUAUGCUACAGAACACCGAUCGCGAAGGCAGCUCACUAAGCUGAAACUGACGCUCAUGCACGAAAGCGUGGGGAUCAAACAGGAUUAGAUACCCUGGUAGUCCACGCCGUAAACGAUGAUUACUCGAUGUUGGCGAUAUACCGUCAGCGUCUGAGCGAAAGCAUUAAGUAAUCCACCUGGGGAGUACGAUCGCAAGAUUGAA